GGUGGUAGCUCAGUGGUAGAGUGUGUUUGUGCUUAACAUGCACAAGGUCCUGGGUUCAAUCCCCAGUAUCUCCA
rnacentral:tRNA from 1 species